UACGGAGGGUGCGAGCGUUAAUCAGAAUUACUGGGCGUAAAGCGCAUGCAGGUGGUCUGCUAAGUCAGGUGUGAAAGCCCGGGGCUUAACCUCGGAAUAGCAUUUGAAACUGGCAGACUAGAGUACUGUAGAGGAGGGUAGAAUUUCAGGUGUAGCGGUGAAAUGCGUAGAGAUCUGAAGGAAUACUAGUGGCGAAGGCGACCCUCUGGACAGAUACUGACACUCAGAUGCGAAAGCGUGGGGAGCAAACAGG
rnacentral:rRNA from 1 species